UACGUAGGGACCAAGCGUUGUUCGGAUUUACUGGGCGUAAAGGGCGCGUAGGCGGCGUGUUAAGUCAGCUGUGAAAUCUCCAAGCUUAACUUGGAACGGUCAGCUGAUACUGAUGUGCUAGAGUGCAGAAGGGCAAUCGGAAUUCUUGGUGUAGCGGUGAAAUGCGCAGAUAUCAGGAGGAACACCAGCGGCGAAGGCGGCGCUCUGGGCCGGAACUGACGCUGAGGAGCGAAAGCGUGGGUAGCAAACAGG
rnacentral:rRNA from 1 species